rnacentral:rRNA from 1 species
CUACGGGGGGCUGCAGUGAGGAAUAUUGCACAAUGGGGGGAACCCUGAUGCAGCAACGCCGCGUGGAGGAUGACGCAUUUCGGUGUGUAAACUCCUUUUAUAUGUCAUGAAAAUGACGGUAGCAUAUGAAUAAGCACCGGCUAACUCCGUGCCAGCAGCCGCGGUAAUACGGAGGGUGCAAGCGUUACUCGGAAUCACUGGGCGUAAAGGAUGCGUAGGCGGGUUGGAAAGUCAGGAGUGAAAUCCUACAGCUUAACUGUAGAACUGCACUUGAAACUUCUAAUCUAGAGUAUGGGAGGGGGAGAUGGAAUUAGUGGUGUAGGGGUAAAAUCCGUAGAUAUCACUAGGAAUACCUAAAGCGAAGGCGAUCUCCUGGAACAUUACUGACGCUAAGGCGUGAAAGCGUGGGGAGCAAACAGGAUUAGAUACCCGCGUAGUC